GCGCGGGUGCCGGUCACAUCGCGUUUGAGGUUGUCGCCCACGUAGGCGCAGCGCGCCGGUUCGACCCCGGCCCUGCGCG
rnacentral:tRNA from 1 species